rnacentral:lncRNA from 1 species
UGUUUUAACUUUGUUUCGGCUCCACUUCGCGCCGAUCGAUGUCCAACCCAUUCCAACACCUUUAGAACUCAUUUUUGCUCUUCCAAAUUAGUCGGAACGCCGAAUGGAACUUGUCCAAAUCGUUUAAUCGCCCACUUUGGCCCAUUUGGCCCAAAGUUAGCCAACGUCGUCGAAUUUCGAUAUCUUACAUUCUCCACCCCUUAAAAGGAGUUUCGUCCUCGAAACAACUAACUCGUAAAUCAAACUUAAACUCUUACCUCAAUCCUCAAACAAGUGAGGAUGAUUCGCUUUCAUCUGAUCCUCGAGUUCCCAAGUGGCUUCGCGAUCAUCGUGAUUGCACCACCGGACUUUAACAUAGGGAAUUUCUCGAUUCCUUAGCUUACGCACCUCUCGAGCCAAAAUCUCUACCGGAAACUCUUCAUAACUCAAAUCAUCUUGAAGUUCCGGCGG